AUUGAACGCUAGCGGGAUGCCUUACACAUGCAAGUCGAACGAGUGGCGAACGGGUGAGUAAUGUCUCGGAAACUGCCCGGUGGAGGGGGAUAACUACUGGAAACGGUAGCUAAUACCGCAUACCAUCGGAUGUGCCCAGUGGGGAUUAGCUAGUAGGUGGGGUAACGGCUCACCUAGGCGACGAUCCCUAGCUGGUCUGAGAGGAUGACCAGCCACACUGGAACUGAGACACGGUCCAGACUCCUACGGGAGGCAGCAGUGGGGAAUAUUGCACAAUGGGCGAAAGCCUGAUGCAGCCAUGCCGCGUGUAUGAAGAAGGCCUUCGGGUUGUAAAGUACUUUCAGUGAGGAGGCGUUACUAGCAGAAGAAGCACCGGCUAACUCCGUGCCAGCAGCCGCGGUAAUAC
rnacentral:rRNA from 1 species